GCGGCGGCGGGCGGCGGGCGAGCCGGCGCAGGAGCAGGAGGAGGGGGAGCCGCGCCGCCUGGGAGGGAAGCCGGGGCGAGGCGAGGAGGUGGCGGGAGGAGGAGACAGCGGGGAAAGGUGUCAGAUAAAGGAGGGCUCUCCUCCGGUGUGGAGGCAUCAUGGCCGCUAAAUCAGACGGGAGGCUGAAAAUGAAGAAGAGCAGCGACGUGGCGUUCACCCCGCUGCAGAACUCGGACCACUCGGGCUCGGUGCAGGGAUUGGCUCCGGGCUUGCCGUCGGGGUCGGGAGCCGAGGACGAGGAGGCGGCCGGAGGCGGCUGCUGCCCGGACGGCGGCGGCUGCUCGCGCUGCUGCUGCUGCUGCGCCGGGAGCGGCAGCUCCGGGGGCUCGGGCGGCUCCGGUGGCGUCGCCGGCCCGGGCAGCGGCGGGGCGGGCUCGGCGGCGCUGUGCCUGCGCCUGGGCAGGGAGCAGCGGCGCUACUCACUGUGGGACUGCCUCUGGAUCCUGGCCGCCGUGGCCGUGUACUUCGCGGACGUGGGUACGGACGUCUGGCUCGCCGUGGACUACUACCUGCGCGGCCAGCGCUGGUGGUUCGGGCUCACGCUCUUCUUCGUGGUGCUCGGCUCGCUGUCGGUGCAAGUGUUCAGCUUCCGCUGGUUUGUGCACGAUUUCAGCACCGAGGACAGCGCCACAGCCGCUGCUGCCUCCAGCUGUCCGCAACCUGGAGCCGAUUGCAAGACGGUGGUCGGCGGUGGGUCUGCAGCCGGAGAAGGCGAGGCUCGUCCUUCCACGCCGCAAAGGCAAGCAUCCAACGCCAGCAAGAGCAACAUCGCCGCGGCCAACAGCGGCAGCAACAGCAGCGGGGCUACCCGGGCCAGUGGCAAGCACAGGUCUGCGUCCUGCUCCUUCUGCAUCUGGCUCCUGCAGUCACUCAUCCACAUCUUGCAGCUCGGGCAAAUCUGGAGAUAUUUCCACACAAUAUACUUAGGUAUUCGAAGUCGACAGAGUGGGGAGAAUGACAGAUGGAGGUUUUACUGGAAAAUGGUAUAUGAGUAUGCGGAUGUGAGUAUGCUGCAUUUGCUAGCCACCUUUCUGGAAAGUGCUCCACAGCUGGUCCUGCAGCUCUGCAUUAUCGUACAGACUCAUAGCUUACAGGCCCUCCAAGGUUUCACAGCGGCAGCCUCUCUCGUGUCCCUGGCCUGGGCCUUGGCCUCCUAUCAGAAGGCCCUCCGGGACUCUCGAGAUGACAAGAAGCCCAUCAGCUACAUGGCGGUCAUCAUCCAGUUCUGCUGGCACUUCUUCACCAUCGCCGCCAGGGUCAUCACGUUUGCCCUCUUUGCCUCGGUUUUCCAGCUGUACUUUGGGAUCUUCAUCGUCCUUCACUGGUGCAUCAUGACCUUCUGGAUCGUCCACUGUGAGACAGAAUUCUGUAUCACCAAAUGGGAAGAGAUUGUGUUCGACAUGGUGGUGGGGAUUAUCUACAUCUUCAGUUGGUUCAAUGUCAAGGAAGGCAGGACACGCUGCAGGCUAUUCAUUUACUAUUUUGUGAUCCUUUUGGAAAAUACAGCCUUGAGUGCCCUCUGGUACCUCUACAAGGCUCCCCAGAUUGCAGACGCAUUUGCCAUUCCAGCGCUGUGUGUGGUGUUCAGCAGCUUUUUAACUGGCGUUGUUUUUAUGCUGAUGUAUUAUGCCUUCUUUCAUCCCAAUGGACCCAGAUUCGGGCAGUCACCAAGUUGUGCUUGUGAGGACCCAGCCGCUGCCUUCACUUUGCCCCCAGACGUGGCCACAAGCACCCUACGGUCCAUCUCAAACAACCGCAGUGUUGUCAGCGAGCGCGAUCAGAAAUUCGCAGAGCGGGAUGGGUGUGUACCUGUCUUUCAGGUGAGACCCACUGCCCCAUCCACCCCAUCAUCUCGCCCACCACGGAUUGAAGAAUCGGUCAUUAAAAUUGACUUGUUCAGGAAUAGGUACCCAGCAUGGGAGAGGCAUGUUUUGGACCGAAGCCUCCGAAAGGCUAUUUUAGCUUUUGAAUGUUCCCCAUCUCCUCCAAGGCUGCAGUACAAAGAUGAUGCCCUUAUUCAGGAGCGGUUGGAGUAUGAAACCACUUUAUAAAGCAAAAGGAGUUGCAGAACUCACAACAUCCAGAUGAAGGGGUGACAGCAGGGCUGUGGCCAUAAUGACACUUCAUCCUAGAGCAGGGCAGUGAGCUGUGAAGUUCCUAGUGUGACCGUCAUCACCAUUAUCAUUUGAUCCUGUUGACUGGGGGCAGCUGGUCUCCUUCCAAAGCAGCUGCACCCGAGGGUCUCUGACUCCACCUGAAAGAAUGACGCUGGCUUAGUAGGACUCUCCAUUGCUACCAAACUCCUCCUGCACGGUCUUGGGUGCACCCACCAGAGGGUACUAUUAUUAUGGAAAAUUUUGCCUCCAAUCAUUAGGGUGUCUUGAUGGUGUUAACUGAUCUUUCCAUAAAAAUAGAUUCAGUCAUACACACAUACACACACUAACACCAGUCCUCUCUCAAAAAAGCUUAGGUGACUUUUCUUGAUGCAAAGCUCUGAUUCCCGCAGGAAUAUAAAAACAAAGAAAGAGAGAAAUAUCCCUCGAGAAAAAAAAAAUAGUAUUGCUUAGAAAAGAAUUCAUAAACCAUUUUCUUAUUUGGAAAUCCAUACCACUUGUGAAAAUCCUAUCCAAUGGACAGCAAACCCAAAUGUUGUUUACACAUGUGUUAGCAUUGAUGGAAUGGUUCAUUUUCUACACAUUUCAGGAUUUGUUUUAUAUUUUAAAUUUUCUGUUGUGAACAUCCUUUUUGACAGAAAUCCUAUGCAGCCCAUGUACGGCUUUCGACAAGACCAAGGAGCUCAAUAACUUUAUGAUGUAAAUUAAAUAGUAAUCAUGAUUCAGUAUUCAAUUGCAAAAAUGUAAUAGGUACACAAAGAGGAAGUGGGGAAAAAGGCAAAAUGAGAGUCUGAUUCCCAGGCAUGUGCCGCGCCUAUUGGGACAUAACGGCAGUGCUGCACGAACCAGAGGAAUGGGCUGCAACCGGAUCUGUUUCCAGACGCAGAAUGAGUGGCUCUGUGUGACAAUAGGCAGACGCCGACUCUGGAAGAUGCCGUGCCACUCCUUUCUAGUGCCAAACACCAUCCAACCACAGGACUGACGUGGAAGCCCCGAACAACUGAGAAUGAUUGGCAUGAGCCCCCUAAAAGCAGGCAAGAGAACGAGCAAUCAAGUUCUCCACUGUGUACAGACUUUUGCUUCCCGCAAUCCAAGGUCAAAGUGAUAUGUCUUUUAGAGGCUUUGGGACACUUUUUAGUAAGUAUGAGCAGACAGAUGCAAUGAAUAUGCUAUGAAAAAACCCUUCUGAACUGAUAGAGGGCUUAUCACUAUAUCCAGCUAAGAUUUGUAUUUGAAUCAUCUGUAAAGUCGCACUCUUACAACAAGCUUCUGGGUUUUAAAUACCUCCGUACAGCAAGUAAACGUUCCCCGCUUUCUGUUCUCAGUGUCCUUGGUCAUGGUGCUUUUCGUUGCAUUAAAAGUGCCGGUCAAACUUUGAUAGUAUUUUUUUAUAGUUGGUGCAGAGUGGAAUAACUCAUGGAUUAUUUCAAUAUUUUUGUAAUAAAAAAUAUAGGGUAUACACAUAGGCAUCAUCACUUUUUUUAUAGACCUGGAGUCGUUUAAAAUACUUUAAGCGUCAUAAUUACUUGGGAUGUCAGAACCUGGUCCACAAAUUCCAUCAGCCUGCCUCAGCAGAUUGAAAACAUUUGUCUCUUGCAAGAUCACCCUACUUUGCAAGUUGGUGCCCCCAGGAACCUGGCCAGGGGUGCUAUCAGAAUAUCAGGUGAAGAGAGAAUCAGCUUAAUAGAAAGGGCUUGUCAAGACUGGCCAAUGUUUCCCAGGAAAUCAAAGAUGUAGAUGAUUACUUUCAUCCAUCCAUUAUAACAAACCUGACCACAGUGGAAGAUGUCUUAAACUUCCUUCCCUGGUUUUAUAUUAACCCAACUGAUAGAUUAAGUAUUAGCCAAACCACUAAAAAAGAAAAAAGAGAAAAGUUUAACUUAAUUAUUUGGUUAUUUGGACUAAUUCACAUAAAGUAGUCCAGUUCUCUAGCCACCACCUGUAAUGGAUGUGUCAUCCAGAGACUGUGUCCCCACAAUGACAUCACAGGAAGUAACAGAGGGCUCAACCUAGGACUUCUUUUGGUACAAAGCCCCAAAUCAAUUUUUUUUUUAAAAUAGACAAUUUUUGUAAGUAGACAUACUUCCUAGUACUCCAUGAUUUGAUCCUCCAAGCAAGAUUUCCACUAAAAAAUACUAAUCUUUUGUUGGGAUGUGGGAAGAUUACCUAGUCACCAGUAAAGGCCCAGGAAAAGGCUCUUGUUGUCAGCACAUGGUGAAAACAUUCCACCCCCCAUUGUAGAAGGAAAAAAAUGAUGAUUUUGGCAAAUUCUUCACUUUUGUGCAGAACCUUGAGUUAUUAGCUUCGUUGUUUCCAAGACAACUUUUAACUGAUGAUCUUUGGAAAUUGAGUUUCUCAGUUGAACUAUACCUUUGAUUCUAUGAGUAAAUCACAGAUUACAAUCUAAUAGAGUCAAUCAAUCAACACAAACCCAACAGGCCCCAUCAUGCUUCAAUCAUAUGUAGCAUGUCUGAAGGUCUGCAAGAUGACAGAGUUGUAACCCAUUCAAUGAUACUGUUGCCUAGUAAGCUGUGUGUGUGCUGUUUGAACUGAUACUAAAAAGGUAGCCGAUAAUAAACCAAAAAUUUUCUCAACCCUGGUGUUUAUUUUUAAAAAAUCUUCAACGAUCAAUAUGAAUGUAGUAUAUUAAAAUACAAGUAACUAUCUUCCUGCUUUGAUUUAAGAGAUCUUUAUGAAUUUACGUAAAAUUAGAAGUCACUGAUUUUUAUAGGAAAUAGCAUGUAAAAGAAAUCUAAGUGUUGCUUUAUCACUUUAUUUUAUAGAUGAGACAACUGAGAUCCAAAAAGAACAGGUAAUUUUUGUCAUCAGGAUUACACAUUACAGUUUUAUUUUUUCCCUGAGUCAUUUAUUCAACAAUUAUGACCUCUGCAACUCUUAUGACUAGGCAAUGCACAGUCAAGCACAAAAGGAAAGUUGUAUCAGAAUAGUUCACAGUCUAGCUAUUAGCAGCACAAUCAUAGUUUUCUGACAUCAACUCUUACUCUUUUCUACUCUACCACACUACUUCUUCUCAAUAUCUAUAUUUAAUUCCAUAUUGAAGCAAGAAAGAAACACAGAUUUUCUAAGACUAUACAGUCAUAUGUCACUUAAGGAUGGGGAUACAUUCUGAGAUAUGCAUCGUCAGGCAAUUUCAUCAUUGUGUGAUGGAGUGCGCUUACACAAGCUUAGAUGGUAGAGCCUACCACACUCCUAGGCUGUAUGGUAGAGCCUAUUGUCCCCAGGCUACAAACCUGUACAGCAUGCUACCAUACGGAAUACUGUAGGCAACUGUAACACCAUGGUAAGUACUUGUGUAUUUAAGCAGAAAAGUUACAGUAAAAAAUGUAGUAUUAUUGUCUUAUGGGAUCGCUGUCAUAUGUGCAGUCUGUUGUUGAACAAAAUGUCAUUGUGUAGCAUGUAAACCUCACACUAAACAGUUACCAUAUAAAAUAAUGAUGACAAGCAUAAAGUAACAAUACGAAUACAAAAAAGAAUCAACACUAGAUGACUGCUUAUAAAAAGUAAUUUUAUAAUUUGUUUAUAUGACUCUCCACAACACUAGAUAUUUUUAAAUUGAUAUCACAGCACAACAAAAAAAUUGAAAUACUCUCUUGGCGCAUAGUAUUUGAUUGAAAACAAUCAUUUUUGGAUAAACUUUGGAGCGAUUCUUGAGAGUUUAUUUCAAGAAAAGGCAUGAAAUUAGGGAGUCUCCAAAGUGAAGAGUUUUCCAAUAGGUGACUUCUCUGAUUUUUCAAGAAAGCAUUCUUCACUUACUGUGUUUCUCCAGCAUACUGGUUAUUUAGGAAUAACAAAUUUCCAGAUAUAAACAUCAGCUGUUGCUCUAAAGCCUUUCCUCCGAUGCCCAGAAGAGCAGCACUGUGCUGCAUGACAAUUUCAAGAGUCAGGAGUCAAGACAGUCAGCCCCAGCUCCUUGGGGAAACCCACACUGGCUUUGGACCGGAUUGCAUUCUCUCCUGCAAUGUGGCCCUGAGUGAUUGGCUUCCCACAUAUGUAAGGAGCAGAUUGUUAAAGAUCACUAUUAACUUGUAUAACUAAUUUUCCUUAUGUGAAAUAAUUCUGGGCAGGGAAUAUAUAAACCCAUUGACCCUCCAUGGAGUAGAAGAAAAGAGAGAAGAAAGCAUAUUAACUUUUAUGAGUAUAGAAUAAUUCAAAUUCCUUGGCAAGUCACAUUAUGCAUUAAUAAAAGAGUUGACCUAAUAAAUGUUACAAGGUACCGUGAUCUCUAGGUUCAUGCCACCAUUACCACAUUCCUUACUACAAUUAUUGCUACUUUAGUCAUUGGACCAGACAAAAAGAAGCAUGUAGUUACGGAUAUAAUAUUUGCUAGGCAAAGAUCUUGUUUAACAAAACAAAUCAACAAUAAAACUAAUUAAUCAAAAUAUUAAGCCAAUAUUACCAGCACAGUACUCACACAAAAUUUUCUCUUGUGCUAAUAAUUGAUGCAUAUCAUCUACCCUGUUAUCAGAAUUUCAGAAAAUAUAAAGUUUUGUGUUUUUAUUAUAUUUCCAUCUACCACAUUGUUGACCUUCUCCUCCUCUCCAUUGCUUAAUUUGUAUUAAAAUGGAUUUAAUCAAAUUAUUACAUCAUUUAAGUACUACAAAUGUUAUCAGACGGAGAUGUGGUUAAGCUAAUUUAAUUUACCUGUUCUAGUGGCAUUCUGGUAUGGAGCUGUAUCAAAUCAACACUUUUAAUUAUUUCAGAUUAAUUCAUCAAGAAGUUCCAAAACACUACUAAAUGUGUUGAAAAUAUAGUUUGGGUUUCUAUGAUCGUAAUCAAAAUUCCUAUUUUGAUCACACACCAGUAGAACCCAUUGCAAGCCACUGUGAGUCUGGAAAAUGAGCACUUUGUGUGUUGAGCACUGUUGCAUUCACUUAGCAAUUAACCUUUGACCUGCGGUUUUCUGCUGAGCCCCUUGUGAUGUUUUUUAUUCUAUUCAGAUUGGAAGCAAUAACACACCUUAACAUAACCAAAGGAGACCUGUCAGCUAGUGGAAUAAUUGUCAUUUUAUAUCAUUCUUUUAAAAAAUUAAAAUAUUCAACUUCCCUUAUUAACCUUUCUAAUGCAUUGUACAUAAAAAAGGAAAUGGAUUUCUGAAGCAUAUUUUGAAAGCCUGGGGUGAAACAUUUUCCACGGUCUGAAUCGGAGGCUUGGGGCUCUGUGGAAAGAUGUAAAUCCCUCCUGCUGUAAGAGGGAGAAAGGCAGCAGUGAGCUGUCACUCAGAAAUACAGUCUCCACUGUCGCAAAGCUGCCUAUUGCUGAUGCUAUCGAUUCCCUUCUUUUUCCACAGAAACAUCUUGGAGCUUGUCAAGCUUUACUGGAGGUGAUUUGCAGUUAAUUAAUUCAACAGACACUUUAAUCUUGCAAAUUCUUGACUUGUAAUAUUGUAACGAAGCUCCUGCAAGGGAGCAUUAA